rnacentral:misc_RNA from 1 species
GCUGAUUUCUAUAGGAAUGCUGCCUUUUACGUUCCCAUUCUUGCUGUUUCUUCAUCUGAUUUAUGACUUACAAGUUUAUGUUAGCAAACCAUUUGAAACGAAUGGAUGCAUUGGGGGAUUUGAUAUAUGCUAAAGUAGGCGAUGAUAGUUACUGUUAUGAUUUUACGAUUCUCUUUUUUGUUUUUAAUAUACAAAGUUGCUGAUGUUUUUGAAUGGAGUGUUACUUAUGAAUUAUAAUAAUAAUGGAUAAGCGAGAUUAUUCAGUGAAG